AAUCAACGCUGGCGGCGUGCCUCAGACAUGCAAGUCGAACGAUUAAAGCUCUCUUCGGAGAGUGUAUAGAGUGGCGCACGGGUGAGUAACACGUAAGUAAUCUACCCUCGAGUGGGGAAUAACAACCGGAAACGGUUGCUAAUACCGCAUAAUGCAGCGGCACCGCAAGGUGACAGUUGUUAAAGAUUUAUCGCUUGAGGAGGAGCUUGCGGCAGAUUAGCUAGUUGGUAGGGUAACGGCUUACCAAGGCUACGAUCUGUAACCGGUCUAAGAGGACGGUCGGUCACACUGACACUGAAUAACGGGUCAGACUCCUACGGGAGGCAGCAGUCGGGAAUUUUGGGCAAUGGGCGAAAGCCUGACCCAGCAACGCCGCGUGAAGGAUGAAGUAUUUCGGUAUGUAAACUUCGAAAGAAUAGGAAGAAUUAAUGACGGUACUAUUUAUAAGGUCCGGCUAACUACGUGCCAGCAGCCGCGGUAAAAGUCAACGUCG
rnacentral:rRNA from 1 species